UAGUGAUUUCUGGUUGAUCCUGGCGGAGGCUACUGCUAUUGGGGUUCGAUUAAGCCAUGCAAGUUGAACGAUUCUUCGGAAUCGUGGCGAACGGCUCAGUAACACGUGGAUAACCUACCCUUAGGACCGGUAUAACCCUGGGAAACUGGGGACAAUCCCGGAUAGGUGAUUUUUUCUGUAAUGAUUUUUCAUUUAAAUGCUCCGGCGCCUGAGGAUGGGUCUGCGGCAGAUUAGGUAGUUGGUAGGGUAAUGGCCUACCAAGCCGGUGAUCUGUACGGGUUGUGAGAGCAAGAGCCCGGAGAUGGAACCUGAGACAAGGUUCCAGGCCCUACGGGGCGCAGCAGGCGCGAAACCUCCGCAAUGCGAGAAAUCGCGACGGGGGGACCCCAAGUGCCACUCUUAACGGGGUGGCUUUUCUUGAGUGUAAAAAGCUUUUGGAAUAAGGGCUGGGCAAGACCGGUGCCAGCCGCCGCGGUAACACCGGCAGCUCUAGUGGUAGCCAUUUUUAUUGGGCCUAAAGCGUUCGUAGCCGGUUUGAUAAGUCUCUGGUGAAAUCCUGUAGCUUAACUGUGGGAAUUGCUGGAGAUACUAUUAGACUUGAGGUCGGGAGAGGUUAGCGGUACUCCCAGGGUAGGGGUGAAAUCCUGUAAUCCUGGGAGGACCACCUGUGGCGAAGGCGGCUAACUGGAACGAACCUGACGGUGAGGGACGAAAGCCAGGGGCGCGAACCGGAUUAGAUACCCGGGUAGUCCUGGCCGUAAACG
rnacentral:rRNA from 1 species